UUGGAGGUGGAACUGAACUGCCAAUGAGGAAACUGAGGCACCAAGUCGGGGAAUGAAUGCCAGCCCAGUCACAGCUGAGGUCACAGUGGCCUUGGGUAGGGUACAGAAGGGGAAGAAGUGCUCUGGCUCUAUGACGUCCUGCAGCUAAUGUUGGGGUGCAAUGGCGUGGCACCACCCCACCCUUCCGUAUUCCCUACUUGGGUGUGCUCCCAUCUCCAAGCCAUGCCUGGCCGUGCCCCCCGAAUGGAAGGCCAUCUCUCCCUAUCAACACGGGGUUGGGGGGAUGUGUCUUUGCUGCCACCUCUCCCGUGGGUACGGUCUGCUGAGAAUGGCAGCUCCGUUGCUGGCUGCACUGGGAGCAUCUUGAGGACAGCCACUGCUUUGGCCCCUGACACACAGUCGGUGCUCAGUCAGUCCAUGUGGUUUGAUUGCAUGAAGGAUGUUGGCCUUUUGUGUGGACUUCUGUUGGGAAAAUGAAGCAUGUCUAGUAUCCCGACUCUGCAGUGUAACAAGUCUCCUUCAUGCACCCUCUCUGUGUCCCAGAAAAAGCUGUCCUAGAGUCCAUGAGCCUCUUUUUGUGACUUGGGCUUUCUUUGCUUUUCCACCUCUGUGUGUGUGUGUCUGCUGGCAGGCUUUUUUCAGGGUAUCAGUACAGUGGGGGAGGAAGAGGAGUUGACCUGCUCCUCCCUCCCUGGCCCCUCUCAUCCCACAUUUCCUAUCUCUCCUGGCUCUUUCCCUGCUGCCUACAAGUAGGCCCAUGUCUCCCUCAUCCUGAACAAAUCCUCAGUUAACCCUUCCAUCCCUGCUAACUCUGGUCCUACAAUGUCUUCUACCAUUUGUGGUGAAACUCCUGAAAAAGCCAGUGUACACCAGCUGCCUCCACUGUCUGUCCUCUCCAAUUUCCAGCCCAAGACAAUCUGGAUGGUUGACCGCAAAGGUAUAUCCUGCAGAAAUGGGAGAGGAGCUCAGCUUGGUAUGAGUGUGUGGGCCUCAGCAAACCUGGAGCAGGCCUCAGAGAACUCAACUGUGGGCAGCUGUGGUGGCUUCCAGACCUGUCAACCCAGGAACAUCCAAGACAACUUAGAAGGUAAUUGGCUGGGAUCAUGAGCAAACCUCACAAGAAGUGUCCGACCACAGAAUCAUUUUUUGGUCAUAAAGAACAUGAAAACAUACCACAAGAAGACAACAAAGUCAAAUCUCCCAUGUCCAAAGCCUCCAAGAAAAAUAGGAAUCAGUUCCAGGCCU